rnacentral:tRNA from 1 species
GAGGAUAUAGCUCAGUGCUAGAGUGUGUGCUUAGCAUGCAUGAGGUCCUGGGUUCAAUCCCCAGUCCCCCUC